UACGUAGGGUCCGAGCGUUGUCCGGAAUUACUGGGCGUAAAGAGCUCGUAGGUGGUUUGUCGCGUUGUUCGUGAAAACUCACAGCUUAACUGUGGGCGUGCGGGCGAUACGGGCAGACUGGAGUACUGCAGGGGAGACUGGAAUUCCUGGUGAUAGCGGUGGAAUACGCAGAUAGUCAGGAGGAACACCGGUGGCGAAGGCGGGUCUCUGGGCAGUAACUGACGCUGGAGGAGCGAAAGCCGUGGGGAGCGAACAGGA
rnacentral:rRNA from 1 species